GGUGGGGAUGACGUCAAGUCAUCAUGGCCCUUACGAGUAGGGCUACACACGUGCUACAAUGGCGUAUACAAAGAGAAGCGACCUCGCGAGAGCAAGCGGAACUCAUAAAGUGCGUCGUAGUCCGGAUUGGAGUCUGCAACUCGACUCCAUGAAGUCGGAAUCGCUAGUAAUCGUAGAUCAGAAUGCUACGGUGAAUACGUUCCCGGGCCUUGUACACACCGCC
rnacentral:rRNA from 1 species